CCCAACGGGUAAUGGCGUCAGCCUACGGCGAGUGAGCGGCAAAAGCUCAAAUUUGAAAUCUAGCACUUUCAGUGUUCGAGUUGUAAUUUGAAGAAGGUAACUUUGGUUUUGGCUCUUGUCUAUGUUCCUUGGAACAGGACGUCACAGAGGGUGAGAAUCCCGUGCGAUGAGAUGCCCAAUUCCAUGUAAAGUGCUUUCGAAGAGUCGAGUUGUUUGGGAAUGCAGCUCUAAGUGGGUGGUAAAUUCCAUCUAAAGCUAAAUAUUGGCGAGAGACCGAUAGCGAACAAGUACAGUGAUGGAAAGAUGAAAAGAACUUUGAAAAGAGAGUGAAAAAGUACGUGAAAUUGUUGAAAGGGAAGGGCUUGAGAUCAGACUUGGUAUUUUGCGUUCCCUUCCUUUUUGGUUGGGUUCCUCGCAGUUUACUGGGCCAGCAUCGGUUUGGAUGGUAGGAUAAUGACAUUGGAAUGUAGCUUUACUUCGGUGAAGUGUUAUAGACUUUGUUGAUACUGCCUAUCUAGACCGAGGACUGCGUCUUUGACUAGGAUGCUGGCGUAAUGAUCUUAAGCCGCCCGUCUUGACCACCGGGACCAAAAAAAAAAUUUAAAUUUUAAGUAAAAUUAUAAAAUUAAUUUUUAAAUUUUUUUUAAGAAUUUUAGAAAAUAUUUAAAUAUUAAGGAG
rnacentral:rRNA from 1 species